rnacentral:tRNA from 1 species
GGCCGGAUACUAGCUUAGUAGGUCAAAGGCUUUUCCAAUGAAAGGAAGCGACCCAGGUUCGACACCUGGUCCAGCCG